AUGCAUGGCGCACGCGAUGGUUCUGUUGCCCGUUAGGGUAAGAGCGAAGAGGGAAUGCGGUAAGUCCCCCGAAAAGGAAGGGCAAAUCCGCAGCUGUGCCCGCAACUGUAUGUGUGGAGUGUCCCCCGAAGGGCCCACUGGUGAAAACCGGGAAGGGCGGGGAGCACGGUGAGACACAAGCCAGGAGACCUGCCAUCCGGUCGCCCAUUUC
rnacentral:ncRNA from 2 species